rnacentral:rRNA from 1 species
UACGUAGGGUGCAAGCGUUGUCCGGAAUUAUUGGGCGUAAAGAGCUCGUAGGCGGUUUGUCGCGUCUGCUGUGAAAACGCGAGGCUCAACCUCGCGCCUGCAGUGGGUACGGGCAGACUAGAGUGCGGUAGGGGAGAUUGGAAUUCCUGGUGUAGCGGUGGAAUGCGUAGAGAUCCGGAAGAACACCGGUGGCGAAGGCGGUUGGCUGGGCCACACCUGACACUGAGGCGCGACAGCGUGGGGAGCAAACAGG